rnacentral:rRNA from 1 species
UACAGAGGGUGCGAGCGUUGUCCGGAAUCACUGGGCGUAAAGGGCGCGUAGGUGGCUUGCCAAGCGUGUGGUGAAAGCCCGGAGCUCAACUCCGGGUCGGCCAUGCGAACUGCCGGGCUAGAGUCCGGAAGAGGCGAGUGGAACUCCUGGUGUAGCGGUGGAAUGCGCAGAUAUCAGGAAGAACACCGACGGCGAAGGCAGCUCGCUGGGACAAAACUGACGCUAAGGCGCGAAAGCGUGGGGAGCAAACAGG